rnacentral:rRNA from 1 species
AGUGAACGCUGGCGGUAGGCCUAACACAUGCAAGUCGAACGGCAGCACAGUAAGAGCUUGCUCUUACGGGUGGCGAGUGGCGGACGGGUGAGGAAUACAUCGGAAUCUACUUUUUCGUGGGGGAUAACGUAGGGAAACUUACGCUACUACCGCAUACGACCUACGGUUGAAAGCAGGGGAUCUUCGGACCUUGCGCGAUUGAAUGAGCCGAUGUCGGAUUAGCUAGUUGGCGGGGUAAAGGCCCACCAAGGCGACGAUCCGUAGCUGGUCUGAGAGGAUGAUCAGCCACACUGGAACUGAGACACGGUCCAGACUCCUACGGGAGGCAGCAGUGGGGAAUAUUGGACAAUGGGCGCAAGCCUGAUCCAGCCAUACCGCGUGGGUGAAGAAGGCCUUCGGGUUGUAAAGCCCUUUUGUUGGGAAAGAAAAGCAGCAGGUUAAUACCCCGCUGUUCUGACGGUACCCAAAGAAUAAGCACCGGCUAACUUCGUG